rnacentral:rRNA from 1 species
UACAGAGGCCCCAAGCGUUUAGGCGGAAUCACUGGGCUUAAAGCGUGUGUAGGCGGGAUGGUAAGUACUUUGUGAAAUCCCACGGCUCAACCGUGGAAUUGCUUGGUAUACUGCCGUUCUUGAGUCAUUUAGGGGCAGCCGGAACGAGAUGGUGGAGCGGUGAAAUGCGUAGAUAUCAUCUGGAACGCCAAUGGUGCAGACAGGCUGCUGGGAAUGAACUGACGCUGAGGCACGAAAGCCAGGGGAGCGAACGGG